rnacentral:rRNA from 1 species
AUUGAACGCUGGCGGCAGGCUUAACACAUGCAAGUCGAGCGGGGUGAUGGUGCUUGCACUAUCACUUAGCGGCGGACGGGUGAGUAAUGCUUAGGAAUCUGCCUAUUAGUGGGGGACAACAUCUCGAAAGGGAUGCUAAUACCGCAUACGUCCUACGGGAGAAAGCAGGGGAUCUUCGGACCUUGCGCUAAUAGAUGAGCAUAAGUCGGAUUAGCUAGUUGGUGGGGUAAAGGCCUACCAAGGCGACGAUCUGUAGCGGGUCUGAGAGGAUGAUCCGCCACACUGGGACUGAGACACGGCCCAGACUCCUACGGGAGGCAGCAGUGGGGAAUAUUGGACAAUGGGGGGAACCCUGAUCCAGCCAUGCCGCGUGUGUGAAGAAGGCCUUAUGGUUGUAAAGCACUUUAAGCGAGGAGGAGGCUACUUUAGUUAAUACCUAGAGAUAGUGGACGUUACUCGCAGAAUAAGCACCGGCUAACUCUGUGCCAGCAGCCGCCGUAA